rnacentral:rRNA from 1 species
GAUGAACGCUGGCGGCGUGCCUAAUACAUGCAAGUCGAGCGAACGGACGAGGAGCUUGCUCCUCUGACGUUAGCGGCGGACGGGUGAGUAACACGUGGAUAACCUACCUAUAAGACUGGGAUAACUUCGGGAAACCGGAGCUAAUACCGGAUAAUAUAUUGAACCGCAUGGUUCAAUAGUGAAAGACGGUUUUGCUGUCACUUAUAGAUGGAUCCGCGCCGCAUUAGCUAGUUGGUAAGGUAACGGCUUACCAAGGCAACGAUGCAUAGCCGACCUGAGAGGGUGAUCGGCCACACUGGAACUGAGACACGGUCCAGACUCCUACGGGAGGCAGCAGUAGGGAAUCUUCCGCAAUGGGCGAAAGCCUGACGGAGCAACGCCGCGUGAGUGAUGAAGGUCUUCGGAUCGUAAAACUCUGUUAUUAGGGAAGAACAUAUGUGUAAGUAACUGUGCACGUCUUGACGGUACCUAAUCAGAAAGCCACGGCUAACUACGUG